rnacentral:rRNA from 1 species
ACCUACGGGAGGCAGCAGUGAGGAAUAUUGGUCAAUGGGCGCGAGCCUGAACCAGCCAUCCCGCGUGCAGGAAGAAGGCCCUAUGGGUUGUAAACUGCUUUUGUGCAGGAAUAAAUGUACCCUCGUGAGGGUAUUUGAAGGUACUGCGUGAAUAAGCACCGGCUAACUCCGUGCCAGCAGCCGCGGUAAUACGGAGGGUGCAAGCGUUAUCCGGAUUUAUUGGGUUUAAAGGGUGCGUAGGCGGCAUUUUAAGUCAGUGGUGAAAACCUGCAGCUCAACUGUAGAACUGCCAUUGAAACUGAAGUGCUUGAGUUAUCUUGAGGUAGGCGGAAUGUGUAGUGUAGCGGUGAAAUGCUUAGAUAUUACACAGAACACCGAUUGCGAAGGCAGCUUACUAAGGAUAAACUGACGCUCAGGCACGAAAGCGUGGGGAUCGAACAGGAUUAGAUACCCCGGUAGUCCC